rnacentral:rRNA from 1 species
UUUAACGGCCGCGGUAUUUUGACCGUGCAAAGGUAGCGCAAUCACUUGUCUUUUAAAUGAAGACCUGUAUGAAUGGCAUAACGAGGGCUUAACUGUCUCCUUUUUCCAGUCAAUGAAAUUGAUCUCCCCGUGCAGAAGCGGGGAUAAAUACAUAAGACGAGAAGACCCUAUGGAGCUUCAAACAAAAAACGGACCAUGUCAAUAAAACCAUUUAACAGGUAUAAACCUAUUGGUCCCCGUUUUAAUGUUUUUGGUUGGGGCGACCGCGGGGUAUAAAAUAACCCCCACGUGGAAUGAGAGAACUUCUCUCAUAACCCAGACUGGCAAGUCUAAGUAUCAGAACAUCUGACCAAUAAUGAUCCGGCAANNNNNCAACGGACCGAGUUACCCUAGGGAUAACAGCGCAAUCCUCUCCUAGAGCCCAUAUCGACGAGAGGGUUUACGACCUCGAUGUUGGAUCAGGACAUCCUAAUGGUGCAACCGCUAUUAAGGGUUCGUUUGUUCAACGAUUAAAGUCCU